rnacentral:tRNA from 1 species
CUAGAAUUAGUUAAGAUAUAACAUUAAAUUGUCAUUUUAAAAUUACAUAAACAUACCUCAAAUAUCUCCCCUAGC